UACAGAGGGUGCGAGCGUUACUCGGAAUUACUGGGCGUAAAGCGCGCGUAGGCGGCUUUUCAAGUCGAUUGUGAAAUCCCCGGGCUUAACCUGGGAACUGCAGUCGAGACUGUCUAGCUAGAGUAUGGUAGAGGGUGGUGGAAUUUCCUGUGUAGCGGUGAAAUGCGUAGAUAUAGGAAGGAACACCAGUGGCGAAGGCGACCACCUGGACUGAUACUGACACUGAGGUGCGAAAGCGUGGGGAGCAAACGGG
rnacentral:rRNA from 1 species